CAUUUCAGUCCGUCGCCGCAGCGACAGUCAGACACAACGAGCAGAGAUGGAAAUGAAUCCCAAGGACUUUUGUUUUGAAAUUUCACCAGAGACAUCAAAUCUUCACACAAACCAAUUCUUUUUUUAAUAUUUGUUAUUAUUUAUAUUCAUUGUCAACAAGUCGGAACGAUGUGGUUUCACCCAGUGACGCUGUGGGUCCUCGGGGUUGUCAUGGCGAUGGCGGAUGGAGCGCGGGUGCUGAGUGGUCAGACGGUGUGUUCAGGUGCAGGUCGUCCCUGCUACAAGAUCGCGUACUUCCACGACGUGUCGAGCCGCGUAGCGUUCAUGGAGGCGCGUCGGGCCUGCGAGGUGGACGGAGGCUCGCUGCUCAGCAUCGAGAGUCCAGCCGAGCAGACGGACAUCGAACGCCUGCUGCAGGAGCUGCGCUCUGGAGCAGUGGGUGGGGUCGGAGCAGCUCCAGGGGGCGGCGGCAUAGCGGAUGGUGAUUUCUGGAUCGGUCUGACGCGGGCGGACGGAAUCGACCAGACUCAUCCUGAGCUCACCAACACGUUCACUUCCUGUUCGCAGCUGUACCAGUGGACCGACGGCAGCCCAGCCACCUUCAGGAACUGGUAUUUUGAUGAGCCGUCUUGCGGAGGAGAGGCCUGCGUCGUCAUGUACCAUCAGCCGACUGCACUUCCUGGUCUGGGCGGGGCUUAUCUCCACCAAUGGAAUGAUGACCGCUGCAACAUGAAACACAACUUCAUCUGCAAAUACAAACCAGAGACUCAUGAUGUGAUUCGUCACACACCUGGGGGGCGGAGCACAGAGACGACGGCAGGAGGGGGUGUGGUCAGACAGGCUGCGGGCAGCGAGGAGGUGCGGCCUCAGGUCACCGUGGCUGGAGCUUCAGGCAUGUUACUGGUCUACGUGAUCAUUCCCACAAUCCCCCUGCUGCUGCUCAUCCUGGUGGCUUCUGGGACAUGUUGUUUUCAGAUGCUCAGCAGAAGGUGAGAGACUCCAACUCCCAGCAGCCUCUGCUCCUCCUGCUGCUGCUGAGGAUGCAGUCGUCCUCGCAGUAAGACCGCCCCCGACCAAUCAAACCUGUGGAUCUCCACGACGCCCAAAGCCGAGAGCAUGGAAGACUGAAAACUCCGCCCCCCCGACAUCAGCGACAUCAGAGCAGCAUCAGAACGCCACUGGCAGAGGGAUGACAUCACCUCACAGCUAAGCCAAUCAUCAUCCUCAUUGUGACAUUUAGGCUCAGAGGGAGGAUGUCAUCAGAUGCUUUGAUUUUACCACACUUAGUUUUCUGUGUAUUUGUACUGCAUCUGUACUGACAGAGUACACACACUCACCUGGUUGGUUCCUGUUUCCUGUGGUUGUUGUCUUAGUGUUGACUGUCACAAACACUUAAUCUCAAGACGACGUUGAUUUAUUUAACAUAAACGAGGCUGCUGGAUUUUAGUUUUUCAUAUUCUCGACUUGGUCCCUCAGUGAUGUCACUGAUGAUGUCACUGUCAACUUGUGUACCUGAACUUCUUCUUCUUCAAACAUCAGAUAAUAAACCAUGUGUCACAGACUCAG